CUCAAGUGGACACAAAUGCGAAGGUGAGGUGGAAAUGCACCAAGCCAAUGAAGAACGAUCAAUACCACUUCAACAGAGAAAGCCAGUUCCCCAGGCUUGGACACUGAUCAUCGCGUUAGACCCAACGGCCUCUUUCUAGGCCCUAGCUCUCCUAGCUGCCUCCCUCACAGGCUGCGAGAUGGGUCUGAUGGCCCCACAUCAGCCUUGGUUUGCAGGCCGAAGUUGUUUCUCUGAUGUUCCUGUGUGAACUGCCCAUUCACAGCUUGCCACCUGAGUCCCAGCCUUCAUCUUAGCCUAAUGUGCAAAACAUCCGUUUGAAGACCCGACAUCGUUACACUCGGUGAAGACCAAUAACACGAAUUCCUUUUAAACUGCCAUUUGUCUCACUCAACAUUAUGACCUUUGUUUUUGGGGUACAGUCUUCUUCCCCUGUGUUGAUAUUCUUUUAAAACCCCAUUCCAGUUUGGCCUCAUUUACCCCUACUUCCCUUACCUGGAUUCAGAUGCUGCAUCUAUCUGAGGAUGGAUGGCGCAGGCUUAAGUUUCCAUCCUAUGAGCUUGAGAGCUGACUUUUAUAGCUGAAGCUGAAUUUCCAACUCAUGCACACAGUUCCUAGCUCAGUUCGCAGAGUCUGGCCCAGCAACCAUCGUGCACUACACUAUUCUUAAUUGAAAAAUGUAACGCCCAAGACUGGAUUUGCUAGGAACUGUCCCACAGGCUGAAUCCAUCUAGAUCUGCACCUUUUCCCAAGACCACCAAAUGUCUCAGAAUGGCUGUCCUCCUUGAUUGGGGGGUUUUGCUCUUUAUUUUGAUUUUGUUAUUGUUUGUUCUUGUUCGUUUAUUGUGGUCAACUUGACACAGCUUGGGAAGAGGAACGUCACUGAGAAAAUGCCUCCAUCAGGUUGGCCUUCUGUGGGACAUUUUCUUGAUUGAUGGUUGAUGUGAGAGGGCCCGGGUCACUACGGGUAGCGCUACCCCUGGGCAGCUGGUCCUGGGCUCUAUAAAAGAGCAGGCUCAGCAAGCCCCUGGAACAAGCCAGUAAGCAACGUUCUUCUAUGACCCUUGCUUCUGUUCUUGUCUCCUUGAGCUCCUGUCCCAACUUCCCUCAGUGAUGGAGUGUGACCUGAGAGUUUAUUUCUGAGUAAACUGAAAUAAAUACUUUCCUCUCCAA